rnacentral:ncRNA from 2 species
GCCGUUGAACGUGGUGAUUUGGCCGGCCGGCUUGCAGCCACGAAAAACAACUCGCUAAACAGGCCGAUCCUCGAACGAG